rnacentral:pre_miRNA from 1 species
CAUGCUCUGGUGGGGUCCCUUGGCCUGGCCUGCACCCUCUCACAAUUUGGGACCCCCUUGGUGGAUGUUGGAGAGCCAGUUUCAGCCUGAUACCUGCAGGCCAGGCCAAGGGACCCCACCGGUGCAGG